GAAAGCGGAAGUUUCUUGGUCGA
rnacentral:snRNA from 1 species